UACGGAGGAUCCAAGCGUUAUCCGGAUUUAUUGGGUUUAAAGGGUGCGUAGGCGGAAUAGUAAGUCAGUGGUGAAAACCUGCAGCUUAACUGCAGAACUGCCAUUGAUACUGCUAAUCUUGAGUACAUUUGAUGUGGGCGGAAUGUGUCAUGUAGCGGUGAAAUGCAUAGAUAUGACACAGAACACCGAUUGCGAAAGGCAGCUCACAAAACUGUAACUGACGCUGAGGCACGAAAGCGUGGGGAUCAAACAGG
rnacentral:rRNA from 1 species